rnacentral:tRNA from 1 species
GCUUGGGUGGCUCAGUUGGUUAGAGCGCAGGUCUCAUACGUUAGUAUGACGUUCAGACACUGAACGGUAAUCCUGAGGUCAUGAGUUCGAAACUCAUCCCGAGCA